rnacentral:misc_RNA from 1 species
CCACAGCACAACAAUAUAAUGACGAGGACGGGAGUAAAGGCCACAUACAAUGCACCGGAACACGAGCCCACGGUCCUGGAGCCGUCGCAAGCCACCGACCAGGAGGUUGCCACAGACCGAGAUGCCCCCACAGCCCCCAGCGACUCUGCUCUGGGCCAGAUUCGAGCCGAUGUGAUCCGUGUUCAGUCGGUGAUCAACAAGUUUCUGACUGCCCGAAUGCAGAACGACGUCCAGGACGAGAAGUUCGAGUCGCGGCUGCUCGAUGGUGACGAUGAGAUCGAGGAGGAUGAGUAGGGAACAAAACAUGACAGCACCACAGAGGCGCAAACGACACAAAACGGCACAUAAAGGGGUAGACGUACAAUAAGAUACUCGCCCGUGUCUACACGCACAUAUCCACUUGGAUUUUUAUUAUAAUACAUGCAUUUUACAGU